AAAUUCUAAUUAAAUACACCCCCUUAAGUCAAAAUCAAUUAAAAAUGCCUGCUAGGUGGGGGAAAAGAUCAAGCAUAGAAGAGCAUAAACAAGAGCGACAAUUACAGGACCAGAAAUUUUAACAAAAUAGUGUUCAUCAAAGUUUGAGCGAAUCGAAUGAUAAGGGAAACAAAAUCGCCAAAGAGGCCAAGCCCAAGAGCUUUGACGAGGUCUCUGCCAUCCUUUUGUCCCGAAAUUCUCCUCGAAACAGUAGAGAAUUAGGUGGUAGUGGGUCAUCCGGGUUUUCGGGUUUCGAUUCGUAUUAGAGAGCUCAUCCUUUGCCUCGGCCGUCUAUGUCGGCUUUGGGGAGUGAUCUAAAGGCUGGAUUGGGAUCUGGGUCGGUUUCGAUUUCUAGUGUUAGCUCAUCCUGGUCUUCUGAUGAUCAAGAUCAGUUAGGGGUUUUGAGGUUGGUUUGUUUGGUGCUUACUUUUUUUUUAAUUUAAAAAAAAAUUAAUUUGUGGAUUUUGUAAAAUUGUUUUGGGAAUUUUGUUUUGAUUCCUUUUGGUGGUUGUUUCUAUUUUGAUCAACUGAUAAAAACUUGAACUUCAGCUUAGAAAAGGAAAACUUUUCUACCGUGUAAAAAGUUCAUUUCUAUCACAAGUGGACUGCUUUUUGGGUUUUUAUUGUUCUAUAAUUUUUAUUGAGUUUUGUUUUAUGUUUUUGGGUAAGUUGUUUAAGGAAUUAGGUUUUAAUGGAUUGAUCGAUAAAGUUUGAACUUCAAUUCAACCAUAAUUUUUUGCCUUCAAUUGAACAUCUUUUUGUUAACGCUCUGUUUCUGAGUUUUAAAAUGGACAGAAAAGAAAAGAAAUGAGCGAAAAAUUUAAGUUUUCUUUCCAAUUUUUAUGUUUCUGAGUUUUUUAAUAAACAGAAAAGAAAGGAAAUUGACAGAAAAUUUGGCCACUUUUCCUGCCAAAGUUUUUCAUUCAAAAUUGACAAGAUUUGGACGGAAAAGAAAUUGGAAUAAGUAAUAUUUUUAUGAUUCCCAUAUUAUCCUCAACUUUUAAUAUAAUAAAAUUUAAAUUACAACCCAUGUCCUCAAUUUAUUUUUAUGUCUGUAACUUCCUUUUGUCGCGAACAAGUUCAUCAGCCUUUGCAUUUUGCCGCGAACAAGUUCACCUCGGAGGUAUCAAUUUUAUUUAUUUUAAUGUUUAUUGGUGGAGUAAUUUGUGUUUUAAAUUCAGAUCUGAAUUGAUUGAUCUUUGUUUGUUUUGAAUUGAUGAGGAUAUUUGGUGGAGUAAUUUACUCAUCCUUGCUUACUGAUUCCUGAUGGAUUUUUUUCUUCUUCUUUGUCGUGAUUAAUAUAUAGUGGAUGACAAAAUUGGGUGUUUAGAACAUAGUAGUUACUUGCUAUUGUCUGUUUGGUUCUAUAAUUGGCUGUGAUAUGAAUAUUUAUAAAGAGGGAUCUACUCAUUUAUUGAUAUCAACGGUAAGUGAAAUUUUAAGGAAAAGACACCACAACAGUAUAAAUGAUAAGUAGCGACUCCAAUUUCGAUCCUUGCUUCAAUCAAAUCUCCACCAUUGGCACCUCAAUUCACAACAGAACUCCAUUAAUAACAGAUCCAUGUAUAGCCAAAGAAGUUUUGGCACCUAAAUUCUGAUGGCAACAUGUAUUUGGACAUUUGUUGGCCAAGUGGGGCGGGCGGCUUUCAAGUUAAACACACUCCAACAGUAAUUAUUCGAACUUGAAACUUGAUUUACCUAAAUAGCUUUAUUAUGAUCUUAGAAUAUAACCUGAUGUUCUUG
rnacentral:lncRNA from 1 species